AUUGAAUUUGCUGGAUUUUAUGGUACAUUGAUCCUUUUGAGGAACUGCUAAAUUGCUUUUCAAAGUAGCCUCAUUAUUUACAUUCCCACCAGCAGU
rnacentral:pre_miRNA from 1 species